rnacentral:rRNA from 1 species
UACGUAGGGUCCGAGCGUUGUCCGGAAUUAUUGGGCGUAAAGGGCUCGUAGGCGGUUUGUCGCGUCGGGAGUGAAAACUCAGGGCUCAACCCUGAGCGUGCUUCCGAUACGGGCAGACUAGAGGUAUGCAGGGGAGAACGGAAUUCCUGGUGUAGCGGUGGAAUGCGCAGAUAUCAGGAGGAACACCGGUGGCGAAGGCGGGUCUCUGGGCCAAUACUGACGCUGAGGAGCGAAAGCGUGGGGAGCGGACAGG